UACGUAGGGGGCAAGCGUUGUCCGGAUUUAUUGGGCGUAAAGAGCGUGUAGGCGGCCAGGUAGGUCGGUUGUGAAAACUGGAGGCUCAACCUUCAGAGGUCGACCGAAACCAUCUGGCUAGAGUCCGGGAGAGGAGAGUGGAAUUCCUGGUGUAGCGGUGAAAUGCGCAGAUAUUAGGAAGAACACCAGUGGCGAAGGCGGCUCACUGGCCCGGUACUGGACGCUCAUGUGCGAAAGCGUGGGGAGCCAAACAGGG
rnacentral:rRNA from 1 species